CUCCUAUGUCCAUGGAAUUCUCUAGAAAGGAGUACUGGAGUGGGUUGCCACUCCCUUCUCCAAGAGAUCUCGACCUAGGGACUGAACACAUCUCCUGCAUCGGCAAGUGGCUUCUUUACCACUGAGCCGCCUGGGAAGCCCUACUGUAGGUAGUAAGAUCAUGCUAAGAACGAUAGUGACAACAUAGUGCAAACUAUAGUGAAGACAAGACAACAUUUGUAAAGAAAUUCGUGUGUUUUUCAAUGAAAAAGAAUGAUGCUAAAGCUGAAACUCCAGUACUUUGGCCACCUCAUGCGAAGAGCUGACUCAUUGGAAAAGACUCUGAUGCUUGGAGGGAUUGGGGCCAGGAGGAAAAGGGGACGACAGAGGAUGAGAUGGCUGGAUGGCAUCACCAACGCGAUGGACAAAGCAAUUUUACAAAAAGAAAAAGAAAAUGGAGAACAGACUUCCAACAACACACGUCUUUUCUGCUUUCUCCUUGGCUCUGAAAGAGGACGCAUGAAACAGAAUUUCAGGCUGUAAUUAAUGCAGCUCUUCAUAAGAUAAGAGGUUCUUUUAUCUGUUAAAAAAUUGCUGUACUAAUUUUCAAGAAUCAGAAUGUUCCAGUUAAUGCUCUUCCUACAAGAAGAAUUCACCUUUUCUACUCUACCUAUUUGCAGUCAAAUUUUCAUAUUUUUUAAAGGAAAUUGGACAUGGGUAAACAUGCAAUGAUAGCAAUAUUAUUUCAUAGGACUGAGUCUAGAAAACUUAAAUAUUAACAAUAUGCUUAGAUAAAUCCUGAAUAGGUGUUGCACAG
ensembl:lncRNA